CUCCACGAUUCAGCGGCGGACGGGUGAGUAAUGCCUAGGAAUCUGCCUGGUAGUGGGGGACAACGUUUCGAAAGGAACGCUAAUACCGCAUACGUCCUACGGGAGAAAGCAGGGGACCUUCGGGCCUUGCGCUAUCAGAUGAGCCUAGGUCGGAUUAGCUAGUUGGUGAGGUAAUGGCUCACCAAGGCGACGAUCCGUAACUGGUCUGAGAGGAUGAUCAGUCACACUGGAACUGAGACACGGUCCAGACUCCUACGGGAGGCAGCAGUGGGGAAUAUUGGACAAUGGGCGAAAGCCUGAUCCAGCCAUGCCGCGUGUGUGAAGAAGGUCUUCGGAUUGUAAAGCACUUUAAGUUGGGAGGAAGGGUUGUAGGUUAAUACCCUGCAAUUUUGACGUUACCGACAGAAUAAGCACCGGCUAACUUCGUGCCAGCAGCCGCGGUAAUACGAAGGGUGCAAGCGUUAAUCGGAAUUACUGGGCGUAAAGCGCGCGUAGGUGGUUUGUUAAGUUGGAUGUGAAAGCCCCGGGCUCAACCUGGGAACUGCAUCCAAAACUGGCAA
rnacentral:rRNA from 2 species